rnacentral:lncRNA from 1 species
GUGCGUUACGUACUUAACCAAUGCAAAAAUGGUGAUGAAGGCGGCCUAGUGGACUUAAGACUGGUUGCCCGACACUAUUGUUGCAAUGUGAUAAAAAAGUUGAUCUUUAAUCGAGGGUACUUUGGAGAAGGGAAAGCAGAUGGUAGACCUGGUUUUGAGGAAGAAGAAUACGUCGACGCCAUUCUCGCUUUAGUCAUUCAUCUUUAUUCCUUUUGUAUAUCCGAUUACUGGCCAUUUUUGAGAGGCCUCGACCUGGAGGGGCAUGAGAAAAUCGUGGAGGACGCCACUAGGGUUCUAGAGAAAUAUAACAAUCCCAUUAUUGAAGACAGGAUUCAACAAUGGAGAGAUGGCAAGAAACAUGAACCUCAAGACUUGCUUGAUGUUUUGGUUUCUUUAACGGAUGACAAUGGUACCCCACUACUGUCCGCGGACGAGAUCAAAGCUCAAGUAAAUGUACGUCUUUCCUUCUCUUUAAUUGUUUUUGAACAAAAUAUAAGCCACCAACAUGUUAAUGUUUAUUAAAAAUGGAUUACUAAGACAUGACAAUAACAUAAAUAUGAUAUAAUAUACACGUGUCAUCAUAGAAAAUCAGCCCUGUAUAUUGAUAGUCUCUUUUUCAACUUAAUUUUCAGGAAAUUAUGAUUGCUGCAGUGGAUAAUCCAUCAAAUAACUUAGAAUGGGCACUUGNNNNNNNNNNNNNNNNNNNNNNNNNNNNNNNNNNNNNNNNNNNNNNNNNNNNNNNNNNNNNNNNNNNNNNNNNNNNNNNNNNNNNNNNNNNNNNNNNNNNGGUUAAUACAAGAAUCUGAUGUCCCACAACUUAACUUUACUAAGGCAUGCGCCAGAGAAGCCUUUAGACUCCAUCCUGUUGCAGCAUUUAGCCCUCCUCACGUGUCCGUGACUGAUACAACAGUGGGCGACUACUUCAUUCCUAAGGGUAGCCAUGUGAUAGUUAGUCGGGUUGGGCUUGGUCGAAACCCUAAAGUUUGGGACGAGCCAUGCGAGUUCAAGCCAGAACGUCACCUCCAGAAUUGUAAUAAAGGCGAAGAAGUGGUGCUUGAAGAGCCAGAUUUGCGGUUGUUUACAUUCGGUAGAGGAAGGAGAGGGUGCCCUGGAGUGGUGCUUGGAAGCUUGAUGACUACCAUGCUGUUUGCGAGGCUAUUGCAAGGAUUCGAUUGGAGCAUCCCGACUAACCAGGGAACCAUUGAUCUUUGUCCAGGAAGGGGAGUUCCCUUUCUGGCUAAACCACUGCUUGCUGUUGCAAAGCCACGAUUGCCACCGCAUGUCUACUCUUUCUUAACUGAAAGUGAAAUACAGUGAUUAACUCCUUGACGAAGAUGGGGGUUGACAAGGGAGACCUGUUUGUGGCUUGGUUCUAAUGAAAUUGUUUUUAUCCCUAGUAUGUAUUUCCUGUUGUAGCUUAUUUCGGUGUUUGUAUGGGGUGUACUCACUUCAGCAACUUCUUAUGUAUUGUUUUCUCAUUAAUAAAAAUGGAUAAGCAGUUAGUAGCUGAUGUAUUGCUUUCCAUGUAACUUCAUCAAUGCACAUGAUAAAGUUUUUCAAUCGAGCUUUCCAAUAGGCAUGGUUCGAAGAGCCAACGAGAAGAGAUGCUCGCAUAAUAGAACUUCCUUCUUUCAUAACUUCCACGGUAGAAAACUGUAGUAGGAUCAUAUUCAACCAACUCUUGAAGCUUGCUUUGGUACCAUUUGGAAAAAAAAAAAAAAAAAGUCAGUUUGUUGUAAUUUUAACCAGACUACUCAAGUAUGUGUUUUGUCACAGGAUUCAACAGACAACGAAACAAAAACCAGAAUAGAGAAAGUAAUAAGAGAUUUUGCAUGCAAUAAUUUGUUAACGCAGUUCGGAAAUAAUUCUAUUUUGCCAAGACUUGUUUAGUGAAUGAUUCUUAUUCAACAAUCUUUCAUAUUACCUAUUGGUUUAAACCCAAUCUAUCCUUACACAAAAAAGUAAUUGCAACCCCAACACCAAUUAUUACAAAUCACUCACCCCAACUAACCUCGCUUACAUCAAGUAUAAACUCGAAUAAAAGCCUAACACAAGAGUGCAAAAAUACCAAAUAAUCUAUUUAUAGGCUAAAAUCGACAUCUUUUCCAAAUAGUCUUGAUAAAGUAAAUCCAUCAAUUUUAAUUUGAAUAUAUCUUCUGGAAUUAUCUCAAAUAAUUAUCCCAAAUUUUAGUACAAUUAAUCUCCUUAAAAUCAACCCAUAAAUCUGUCAAGAUAAGUACAAAGGAUAAGCACAAGUCUUAUCCACAAAAUUAAGUAAAUCUUAACUUCUUUAAAUUUCCAAAUUGAACCAUGACUUUGAUUUACAAUAAAUCUCAUCCAUAAAUUAGGUUCUAGAAGUUCAUUUUCUUGUGGAAACAUCACAUAAAAAGGCUCAAGUCAUAUAAAUCAAUAAAACAUUCAGGUUAUCCCAACGUCUUGAUCAAAUCUUAACUGAUCAAGUGACUGGUCUCAACCAUCAAAUUCUCAAUGCUUGGACAACCUUGGUCUUAAUAUUUUUGGUAAAACCAUUUCUUCCUAUUGCAAGGCCACGAUUGCCACCUUUAAGUCUACUUUUUUAGGGAGUAAAUGAAAGAGAAAGAAAGAGAAACACAGUGAUGUUACAAGGAAUAAAAUAAAGUAUUAAUUUUAUUACCCACAUUUGUUAAUAAAAAAUAAAAUCUCAGCUCGUAAGGUUGGGUUGAUCAUUUGUACACUAUUUUUUAUUGCCACAAAAUAUUAUGUUAAUUAAAUGUAUUUUAAAUAUUUUUCAAAAAAAAAAAAGGAUAUUAAUUAUUGUAUUGUACCAAUCGACUAUUUGCAUUGGCCCCUAUGUAUAUCCAUUUUGGAGAGUGUUUUCAAUCAUAAGGAAUUGUUGUGGAAGCAAAAGGCUUGUUGUGGCUAGCUUCAUUUUGGUGAUCAUAAUACUAAAAUUUUCAUAUUCAUACGAUUCAGAGGAGAAAGUUAAAUCGUAUUACUGCUCUAAAGGUUGGUAACGAUGAAUAGCCCUUUGAUUAGGAUACUUUUCAAGUUGAGGCUUUUGGUUUCUUUCAGAAACUUCAUGGAGAAGCCCUGGAACGCAUGAAUAGGCCUCUAUUAGCAUUUUUCCUCGCCUUAACUCUUUGGACAUUGUUUUUUCAAUUAAGGCUAUCACAAAUGAAGAAAUUAAGUUGACACUAUUUGGCAUGGCGUCUUUGAAGGCCCUGGGAAAUGAUGCCUUCUAUGUUUUAUUCUUUCAAAAUCAAUGGGAUGUUGUUGGUAAUGAUGUUUGUGAGUGGGUCAAAAUGGUGUUUGUAGGUAAAGCCAUUGAUCUGGACUUGAAUAAUACUUUGAUAGUUCUGAUCUCUAAGUUAACGAAUCCUGAAAACUUUUCUCAAUUUCGACUGAUUAGUCUAUGCUCUAUUCUCUACAAAUUGGUCAUGAAAGUUAUUGCUAAUCUUUUCAAGGUAGCCUUUCCUAAUUUUAUUGCACAAGAGUAGGUAGGGUGUAACACCGUCUACUUGACCUGGAUCACCAGAUCCGGAUACCGGAUUUUACAACACUUAAACACUUCAUCAAAUUUUAUACAACAUAUGUAAACUAUUUCUAAACUUACAUCAUAAUACUUAUGUACUGUUCUUUGAUGUAAAAGACAAUAUCCAGUAAUUACAUUAACUUAUUACUCAGUGUACAACCUACAACAUAAGAUUUUAUUAAAAAUAAACUCUUUAAGGCAUGUUAUACUAUACGCCAUACUCUUAUGAUGUCCUUUGUAUGCAUAUUCGCCCAACUCGUUAUUAUCAUGGCGUACUCCUGGCUUGAUCCCCUCCUGGUGAACUCACUCUUAUAGCAAGACCUGAAACAUGAACAAACAAUUGUAGGUUGAUGUGAACUUAGUGAGUUUUUAUCACUGAAUAACUUGAAGCUUUUCUAGUUAAACUCCACAUCUUGAAGAAUUUGGAUCACACCUCUAUCUUUGGUAGGUACUUUCAUAAUAUAAAAUAUAUUCUUAUACGCCAACUUUCAUUGUUAAUGUAACGAUUCUCAAUUUUUUUCUUGGCUAACCACAAAUCUUAUCAGAUGAUAUAUAUAUGUCACAUCUCAACCAGGCUGAUUUGAAUAGAAGGCGUGCAAAAAUGAAGUUUUUUGUUCUAACGCACUCUAAUAGUUAGUUCACCAACUUUUAACAUCUGGUGAAUUAAUGUUUUGGCAAGUAGAGUAUUCGCCCAUAUAAAUACUUCAAAUUUAGUUCUCAUAGUAUUAUUUAAUUAAAGAAAGAAUUUGACAAACUGAGGGUAAGCCUUCUACAGGUUACCACAAAAAGUAUAGUACACAUGGUUUCCCUGAGCACUGUGCUAACUAGGUUGGUAAUGUGAUAUGGUUAGGAGUUAAUUGAAUUGUUAGGUCACAUAAAAAUUCUAUAGGACUCUCAUUUAUGUUUCAGUUGGAUCUUGUAGGUAAUUUAUUACGACAAAUUCUGGAUAUAAUUAACACUAGUCAAGUUUCACUAAACUGGACUUGAUAUAUAUAUGGUGAGAAGGGUUUGUCUAGAAGAUUUUUCUUCUUUUAACACUAAUCUCUGGUUCUUCUUCUUAAACUUAUAUGUUUCUUCUCCUUUAUUAAGUUGGAAGCAAUGGUUUUUGAAUUAAUGAUUAGAUGUUCCACCUCCUAGUAAAUCUGAUAGCUCUACAUAUUAAGUUUUUGAAAGAAUAAGAAUAUUAAAAAGCAUAUGAACAGUGAAUUAUGAAUAAGAAACCCUACAUGAGGGUCAUAUAUAAUUAAGAUGUUAACCAUUUAUUUUUCAAUAGGUUUUAAUAGUAGUUUUAUGUUCUUUAAGCAGUUGUUGUUGUUGUUCAUAGGGAUGUUCAAGUUUAGAACUGCAAGCUAUAGUCUAUGUGAGUAUCAGGUGAGUCUCUAUCUUAUCUUAUGUAUGUGAAUUGUUCAAUUAGUAACAUGUAAGUUUAUCUCAUCUUAGAUGAUUGGUAAGCAUGCUUAUGAGAUCUUAUAUGAAAAAGUAAGAACCAUUUAACUAUGCAAAUAAAUCUAGGCAAGUAACUACUGAGUAAAACAUUCAUUUUUUAUGCCUCAGGUGGGGCAGCACACGAUGUGGAGAUGCGUAAGUCCAUGUGGUAGAGGCACAUGGCAUCUUAUAACAAUGAAUACAUUCAUUGUUUUGACUCUAGUAAGAUGAAGAUUAGACUGGUAGAUCAUGACAUGAAGAUAUGUAUAAGUCUAUGAAGGAGAAACCUAUGACGUUUUCUGUGAAAGUCCACUGGGACAAUAAACAUCUGAUUCUAUUUUUUUCUGAGUGGCGUGAUAUGCUAAGCCUUAGUGGUGUAUCUUGUGUUGUUUUUGUGGCAAAUUAUGAAACACCUAUGUGGCAUAUCUGGGAAUACCUUUGUGGCAGAAUUUGAUUAUCUACCUUUGUCGUAAGUACUGAGGUUUCUUCGAUAAAUGAAUCAAGGGUAAAUAUCUGAUGGAAAUGAUUAGUCUUGUGAUGAAACUGAAUUUUUCUAAAAGGGAUGACUACUGAAUGAAAGUAUGUUUCUGUAUUUCUAAAAAAAGGAAUCCACCAUAGUAGUCUGUCAGUAUAGGUUAUAGGCAUGUUCAUGUUGUGAAAGGUAUAGGUUCUCAUUAGCUUGAAUUUGUUUACGCUAUAUAAGACUAAAAUCUAAUUCAUCUAGUAUAUGUCAUAUUUGAGUAGUAUCAUGUCUCUUUCUAAGGAUAUUUGGAAUCUAGGUCAUUGCCAAUCUGGGCAUUCUUACGUUAUGUAACAUAGACAUUUGGAAUUCAUUUCUAUGAUCUAAAACGUUUCCUUAUCAGUAUGAGCAUGUGUUAGGUUUGAGUCAGAAUCUGAUCUAGUUUAUAGUAUAGUAAUUAUCAAACUUAGUAUAAGAAUCUGCCAAAUGUAAGAUCUGUAAGUGUUAUCUGCCAAGAGAGAGAGUAUCUGUGAACAACCAUUCUAAUAUAAAGGAUAUAUGUUGUCGAAGGGUAAAAUCGUAGAAAGUGGGCUUUGUAUAGAUAUCUUUUUGAGAAGUAUCUGCAUUGUUUUAGGAGAAGAGAAGAUGUAGUUAUCGUCUGGUAAGAUCUGGAAUUAACUAAGUAGUAAAAUGAGAGUUGAUACGAUAAGUAUGGUUGAUGGUAUAUAUGUGUAUAUAAAUCAAACAUUAUGAGGGUGUUCACCAAACACAGAUGAUAAUCUAAAUAUUCAUGAUGAAGAUUUGGUCUAAAAAAGGCUUCAAGGUAUUUUGUAUUCAGGCUUACUAUGUUCAUGUAAACUUAUAGGCAUUUUGUUCAUGUUUCAGGUAAAUCACUAGAUAAGUGUUUGAGAUGUACCUCGCUCGUUGCAUUUACUCGCCCAGCUUCCCAGUUUCCAUCACCACUUUUCCCUAAAAGUUUGAUGGACAACCCACCUCUCUCAUAGGUGGUAGCCUCAUUGUUGACUCAAUAGGCUUCAUAUCGGUUUGUCGCACCUCUAGCCUUUCCAAUGAGGUCUCUGUAACACUCCAAUCUACCGAUUCAAUGUUCUUCCUACAAUAAACAUCUUCGACUAGCUGGAUUGACGAUAGUACCUUGAUUCCUCCCCUCUUGUCUUAACUCAUCGACACAACAAAUUGUUGUGGUCGAGCAUUCAAGAUAAAACUGCAAUUGGCAAAAGGAAUCAACAAAUCAUUAAUUUUUUAAAGAAAUUCAAGCUAAGCAUGAAGUUGUAAUCAUCUAAGUGAAUUACCUCAAAGUUUUCUUUUUCUUUCCAUUGACCGAUUUACAGCUCAACUCCUUAUGCUACUCCCACAAUUAGGACCUCUUUGGAAUUAACAGUCUUGAUCUUUUUGGUUGAUUUGCUAAUUGAGAAACCAAGUUUACCCAUAAUUUUUUGGAUAUGAAUAAGUUAGAUGCCCCCGCAUCAACAAGACCAUUCUUCCUUUGACCUGCGAUGUUAAUGUCAACAUACAUCAACCUUUUCUACUUUUGAUCCCUUUACGUCUUCACAGAAUUGAGUAUCAUUAACCCAAGCUUUAAAGCCUCACUCUCAACAGGCUUCGCUUUAUUCUUUUUAUUGAUCACGAACAUCUUGGAUUGCUUUGGACAUUUUGCAUCCUAUGUGGACCAUAGUACAAGAAGCAUUUCACUGGCUUCUUUUCAUUCUCUUUGAACCUCUUGCCUUUGUUAGAACACACAAGUAAACUAAGUCUCACCAAUGCUCUAUUUGGUUCAUCGUCCCCUUUGACGGCAAAAAGCACAAAUUUCUUUAGAUAGUUUGUCACCAUAUGUAGACUAUCACAAAAGAAGCAUUUCACUAGCCCCUUCGGUUUGUAGUUGGGCUACCACUUCCCAUUAAGUGGCUUCCCAUUGCCACCAUUCUUACCAUUUCCAUUUUUAACUUGUCCCUCUUCCUCAUGGUCUCCUCUACCAUUUCCCAUCUUUUUAGGCUUGAAAGACUCAAACUUGUUUUUCUUCAAACCAAGCUCGACAAAGAAUUUUGCCUCAACUAUGGCUACAAUAAGCUCAGUGAUACCUUGUCGAUGAUCCUCUUACUUCGCCCAAUGCUUCAACCUAUAUUUAAACUAGUAGAAUGUUUUUUUUCUCACUUAGGUCAAAGAUUUGAAGCAUCAAUUCACUAAAGUCUCUAACAUACUUUCGAACAUUGCCUUGUUGUGUAAGUUGGCGCAACUUAGCCCGAACCUCCUUUUCAACAUACUACGGGUAAAACUAUUUCUUCAGUUCUUUCUGGAACUCCUCCCAAGUACCAAUUGCAGUACCACAUUAUCUCUCGUCUGUAGACCUAUGGCGCCACUACAAAAUAAGGACAUCAGUAAAAUAAACUGCAACGGUGUUUACCUUAGUGCCAUCAUCCUCAAUGCCCAUUACACAGAAGUGUUGUUCAAUUCCCUAGAGAAAAUUGUUCAUAUCUCUUCCGAACAUCAUCCCCUUAAACUCUUUCUGCUUGGGGACAUACAUUUUGAGCUGCUUAGGAACUGAAGCCAACAUCCAAUUUCCCAUAACAACUCUACACACAGUGAGCUCUCUCUCAAGCUUCUGAAUUUUUUACAUCGUGGCCUAAGUUUCCUCCUUCAGGCCACAAUCGAAGCUUCAAGAACAUCAUUACUCUUGUCAGCUUCUCGAUCUGAUCACCCAUGGCAACAUUGAGGGCCUUGUUAAUCACAUCCGUAUUGGCACUAAGAUUCUCUGCCACAAAGUCCUUAAGCUGAACUCUGAUUGAGUCUAACUCAUCGAUGUGUCCCUAAAUUACCUUAAGUGUUUCCUUCACACUACCCAUAGACUUCUUAAGAUUGUCACCGGACCUUCCAAAGCCGACAGCAUAUCCCUUGAUCUGUUUUUUUCUUGGACCUCUCACGAGUCUCCAUCAGGACAUUCUACUCGUCCCUUCAUUUCAUCAUCCUAAUCGAUGCCUCCAAACACUAGUUCUAAUACCAACUGUCAUAGGGCUAGAACUUUAGUUUGGCAAACCGCGUGGGUUCAAAUCCUACCUAAUUUUAGCCUACUCUCGAAAAAUGAAAAUUCUAAUAGAAAUUCUGUAAGGAACCGAAGCAAAGCGAAAGCAAACUUGAAAGACAAAAGAAGCUACAAACGAACAAAAAGCCACAGAAAAAUAACGUACACCAAGUGUUUGAGUAAAUGUUCUCAAAAGUAUUCUAUUACUUUGAAGGUUUACAACUGAGUGAUUACAAAUGAGGGGGAAUAUCUCUGUUUAUAGUUGAGCUCUCCCAAAUUCAACAUUACAAAUUAAGUUACAUAGAUGGUCAAGAUUUGUGCCUAUCUACAAGAUGAGAGUCCCAAAGGAUUUAAGCUCUAUACGUCUUUAUCCCUUAUGAUUUGUAUUAAUUAUCUUGGUAACUCUAGUUUUACUAAUGCUUUUCACUGGACCAUCAAAACUUUAAGUAAAUAGGCUUCUCCAUAUGUUUCACUGUGUGCAAUAGUUACGGGUUUGAUCCACGACCCAUAAGACUUACACCUUUUAAAUUUUAGAAAAAAAAUGUACUAACCUCUAAAAUUUAUUUAUUAAAUGAGUUUGAAAUAAAAGAAUAACAUUACCUUUAUCAAUUAACUAUUAUUCUAUUUUAUUAUUAUCCUCAAUUUUUAAUUAAUAUAAUAAAAUUAAUUAGUUAUAAAAAUAUUUUGAUUAUUAUUAAAUUAAAUUGUAAAUAUAAUAUUAUUCUAAUAUGAUCACAUGUUAAAUAUAAUAUAUUAUUCUAUUAAUAUAUGUAACAAAAUUUUUAAAAUUACAAGCAUAAUCACAAUUAAAAAUAUUAAAAAUACAUCGGAAUAACUAUAACUUAAAUAUAUCAUCUUAAAACGUAAUCUAAAAUAUUUUAAAAGAAUUUAUUACUAUUUAAUAAAUUUAUUACCAGAAUAAACCAUUUGAAAGCAAUGUCUCUAAACAUAAAACUUCUUUAAACAUAAAUAAUCACCAUUGCACUGAAAAUCUGACAAAGCUGAAAAUACAGUAUGGUAUCUAAUGAAAUUGAGAAUUUCCAGUAUUUCAUCUUAUGCGUUGAAAAUAUAGUUAAUAUAUUAAUACACUUUAUUUAAUUUAAUACUCAGUUCAAACACUCCAAUAAAUGUUUGGUACAUAUAUUUUAGUAAAAAAAUAUGUAGUUAACUGCGAUAAAAAAUAAAAUUUAAGUAAAUUGAAUAUUAAAAUUAAAUUUGAAUAUUUAAAUGAGACAAAGAAAUAUAUUUGCCCAAAAAAAAAAAUCAUACCAAUAUCUCAUUCCUCCCGUGCCAGCGGCCCCUUUAACAGAUUAGCCUCAACAUCACGUUCCUCAAGUAGAAUGAGUGCAUCAAUAACGAAUUUUUUAGCAGAAUUAACUCUAAAACCGAUAACUUGCCUAGUUCCCACAUCAAAGAAACCUCCAUACUCAAAGUUCUUCGGCCAAACGAGUUGAGAUCCAUCAUUGCUUCAUUUCUUUUGAAUUUCCAUCACUAUGUUUUAGUACAUGCCAAGAGCCCAUGUCUUCAACAAGCGUCACUUUCUAUAUUUGGCCUGGAUAAUUUUAUUUCUAUUGGGAAAAGAGAAUCUCAUGUUACAUUGUACCAUGCAAUAUUGUCUUCAAGCUCAAAGACUUUUGGGUCUGCAAACUAAGCUAAUUAGGCCCAACGUCUAAAUUGCACCUCAAAUCCCCAACCAUAAUCUGAACAUGGCCUACUUCAUCAAAUUGGCUCUACAAACAAAGUUCAUUAGGCCCAACAUCUGGAUUGCACCUCAAAUCCCUGAACCAUAAUCUGAACAUGGCCAACUUCACCAAUAUUUAUAUUAGGCUCAUAUCAGCAUCAUGCUCAUUCAAACCCAUCACAGUUUCUGCCCAUUCCAAAUUUCCAUCCCUCCUAUUGUUACCUACCUCAUCAUCCCUCAUAGAAUCUAGCCGAACUUAUUUUGAGACCUAUAGCAGUAUAGUUCAUUCCAUUAAAAAAUAUAUAGAGCCUUUUUUUGAAAAAAAUUUCACUUAAUGAAAAAACCUUUAUUUUCUUAAAUUGUGCACUUGUUAAGUUUUCCUUUUUAAGAUUAUUCGUGAAAAUGAUUUCAUUUUUCCCUUUAAUUCGUGCUGUAUCAUCAACUCAUAAUUAAAAAGUUUAAACACCACCCAAUUUGAGAAGAAGAAAGAGCUUGAGGUUGUUGCAACCAAUGUUGUUCAAUUAAUUAUUAGAAAUUAUAUAAUUUAGAGGUGAUUUUUGGUUUUCUUUUUUAAUAUUGUGAUUCUAAAACUCAAACCGAAAAUUUAUAAUUAAAUUGCUAUGAUAAGCUCAAUCAUAGAGAAAGUGGGCAUCUUUUAUACGGGGAAUUUCUCUAGGAUUAGAAUCUCCUGAGUGUAAUGAGACAAAUAUACGGUAAGUAUAAGAGUUACAGAAUUGUCGAGUAGUUUGGUUGUUGUUUAUAAAAUCCUACACUAUUAUUAUAUGUAAAAUGAGACAAAUAUAUGGUAAGUAUAAGAGUUUAAUAAUUGUCAAGUUGUUUAUCAAGUCCUACACUCUUGAUACGAGUAAAAUGAGACAAAUAUACGGUAAGUAUAAGAGUUCAAUAAUUGUCAAGUUUUUUUUUCAAAUAAUAAUUGUAAGAAUUUUCAAGGUUUAAUUAUUUUAAAAUGUGUUAAAUAAUGAUAUUACAGUUUUUAAUUAAUACAAAAAUUUCACAGAAAAUAUUGAAAAAGAAUAAGUGGAUAGUUACGCAUUCCUUAAUGUUGAAAUCCUUAAAAAAUCAUAUUUGAAAUAAAUGAUCUCUAUUUUAAGUAAAAAAAAAACUUAUAUUCAGUUUUUACCCAAAACCAUCCUAAUAAUAUAAAAUAUUAUAUUUUUAGAUUAAAAUUAAAAAAAAAUCAACUUUUACUUUUAACAAGAAAUGACGUUUAAUAUGGGACAAUGGACAUCGGAGUUGCACCUGGUAGUAUUUCAAUCCCAAACUCAACCUCCCUAUCUUGAGGUAAUCCCGAUAACUCCUCAGGAAAGCCAUCAAGGAAGUCCCUAACAAUAUGAAUUCCUUCCAUAGCUGAAUCCACCUUACUCAUAUCAUGCACAUAUGCCAAAUAUGCAUCACACCUCUUUCGAAUUAGCUUUUCAACUGCCAGAGCGAAAAUCACAUUAGAUAAAUAAUCUCGAAGCUUACCAACCAUCACAGCCUCCACAUCAUCCCCAACUUUGAAGGUCACUCUCUUAGACUCACAGUCCAGUCUAACUCGAUGCUCCACUGUUAUUAUAUGUAAAAUGAAAAUGGAUUGAUUUUUUCCCUUUAAUUCGUAAUGUAUUAUCAACUCAUAAUUAAAAAGUCUAAACACCACCCAGAUUGAGAAGAAGAAAGAGCUUAAGGUUGUUGCAUUUAAUUAUUAGUUUCCAAUGUUGUUCAAUUAAUUAUUAGAAAUUAUAUAAUUUAGAGGUGAUUUUUGGUUUCUUUUUUAAUAUUGUGAUUCUAAAAUUCAAACCGAAAAUUUAUAAUUAAAUUGCUAUGAUAAGCUCAAUCAUAGAGAAAGUGGGCAUCUUUUAUACGGGGAAUUUCUCUAGGAUUAGAAUCUCCUGAGUGUAAUGAGACAAAUAUACGGUAAGUAUAAGAGUUACAGAAUUGUCGAGUAGUUUGGUUGUUGUUUAUAAAAUCUUACACUAUUAUUAUAUGUAAAAUGAGACAAAUAUAUGGUAAGUAUAAGAGUUUAAUAAUUGUCAAGUUGUUUAUCAAGUCCUACACUCUUGAUACGAGUAAAAUGAGACAGAUAUACGGUAAGUAUAAGAGUUCAAUAAUUAUCAAGUUUUUUUUUUCAAAUAAUAAUUGUAAGAAUUUUCAAGGUUUAAUUAUUUUAAAAUGUGUUAAAUAAUGAUAUUAUAGUUUUUAAUUAAUGAAAAAAAAUUCACAGAAAAUAUUGAAAAAGAAUAAGUGGAUAGUUACGCAUUCCUUAAUGUUGAAAUCCUUAAAAAAUCAUAUUUGAAAUAAAUGAUCUCUAUUUUAAGUAAAAAAAAAAACUUAUAUUUAGUUUUUACCCAAAACCAUCCUAAUAAUAUAAAAUAUUAUAUUUUUAGAUUAAAAUUAAAAAAAUCAACAUUUACUUUUAACAAGAAAUGACAUUUAAUAUGAGACAAUGGACAUCAGAGUUGCACCUGGUAGUAUUUCAAUCCCAAACUCAACUUCCCUAUCUCGAGGUAAUCCCGAUAACUCCUCAAGAAAGCCAUCAAGGAAGUCCGGAACAAUAUGAAUUCCUUCCAUAGCUGAAUCCACCUUACUCAUAUCAUGCACAUAUGCCAAAUAUGCAUCACACCUCUUUCGAAUUAGCUUUUCGACUGCCAAAGCGAAAAUCACAUUAGAUAAAUAAUCUCGACGCUUACCAACCAUCACGGCCUCCACAUCAUCCCCAACUUUGAAGGUCACUCUCUUAGACUCACAGUCCAGUCUAACCCGAUGCUCCACUGUUAUUAUAUGUAAAAUGAAAAUGGAUUGAUUUUUUCCGUUUAAUUCAUAAUGUAUCAUCAACUCAUAAUUAAAAAGUCUAAACACCACCCAGAUUGAGAAGAAGAAAGAGCUUAAGGUUGUUGCAUUUAAUUAUUAGUUUCCAAAGUUGUUCAAUUAAUUAUUGGAAAUUAUAUAAUUUAGAGGUGAUUUUUGGUUUUCUUUUUUAAUAUUGUGAUUCUAAAACUCAAACCGAAUAUUUAUAAUCAAAUUGUUGUGAUAAGCUCAAUCAUAGAGAAAGUGGGCAUCUUUUAUACAGGGAAUUUCUGUAGGAUUAGAAUCUCUUGAGUGUAAUGAGACAAAUAUACGGUAAGUAUAAGAGUUACAGAAUUGUCGAGUAGUUUGGUUGUUGUUUAUAAAAUCCUACACUGUUAUUAUAUGUAAAAUGAGACAAAUAUAUGGUAAGUAUAAGAGUUUAAUAAUUGUCAAGUUGUUUAUCAAGUCCUACACUCUUGAUACGAGUAAAAUGAGACAAAUAUACGGUAAGUAUAAGAGUUUAAUAGUUGUCAAGUUUUUUUAUCAAAAAAUAAUUGUAAGAACUUUCGAGGUUUAAUUUUUUAAAAUGUGUUAAAUAAUGAUAUUACAGUUUUUAAUUAAUACAAAAAUUUCAUAGAAAAUAUUGAAAAAGAAUAAGGGGAGAGUUAUGGAUCCCUUAAUGUUGAAAUCCUUAAAAAUCAUAUUUGAAAUAAAUGAUCUCUAUUUUAAGUAAAAGAACAAAAAACUUAUAUGUAGUUUUUACCCAAAACCAUCCUAAUAAUAUAAAUAUUAUAUUUUUAGAUUAAAAUUAAAACAUCAACAUUUAGUUUUAGCAAGAAAUGGCAUUUAAUAUGGGGCAAUGGACACCGGAGUUGCAGCUGGUAGUAUUUCAAUCCCAAACUCAACCUCCCUAUUUGGAGGUAAUCCCGAUAACUCCUCAAGAAAGACAUCAAGGAAGUCCCUAACAAUAUGAAUUCCUUCCAUAGCCGAAUCGACCUUACUUAUAUCAUGUACAUAUGCCAAAUAUGCAUCACACCCCUUUCGAGUUAGCUUUUAGCUGCUAGAGCGAAAAUCGCAUUAGAUAAAUAAUCUCGACGCUUACCAACGAUCACAGCCUCCACAUGAUCCCUAACUUUGAAGGUCACUCUCUUAGACUCACAGACCAGUCUAACCCGAUGCUUCACUAACCAAUCCAUACCCAAGGUUAGGUCGAACCCCUUGAAUGGCAACUCUAUCAAAUCAGCUGGAAAUACUUACCCCUAAACCUCAAGCGAACACAUCCUAUAAACUUUACUAAAUCGAAUAGAUUGAACCAAAGGACUAAUCAUUGAAAGUUCAGAACUAGUGUCCACAGCCAGAAUCCCCAAAUUACUCAUUAUACUACUAGAUACAUAAAAGUGCGUAGAUCCACAAUCAAUAAGUGCAAAACAUGAUAAAGAAUGUAUAGCAAACAUAUCAACAAUCACAUCAAUCGUAUCUUUGUCAUCACGGCGCCACGUCACGUAAACCGAAGUUGACUGCCUGGCCUCAGCCUGUCCUGCAACUCUGUCUGGUGUUGUCUAACCACAUCCACCGCCAUUAACCUUCUAAUCUAACCAUGGCCCCUAACAGAUUGCUAACCUACCAUCUGGGACGAAAUCUGACCCUGAACUGGAGCCCGCCCUAGCUCAAUAAUAAGGGGGCACUCACCAAUGUUAUGCCCCACAGUCCCAUACCUAACGCAAGCCCUAGUCCUCCUCCAACAGUCACCCGGAUGGCGUCUAUUACAAUAACCAGAAAUUAUAACCUGCUCAGCUCUAGCAACCAGUACAACUCUGGCAGCUGACUCUGUCUGCAAAUUUUUAUCAUACCUAGCCCGUUUCAUGGGCCUUUGAGAAGAACUAGAAGGACCCGAAUCCCUCUUGUUCUUGUUCUGACUUUUCUCUUGCUCUCUCUUUUCACGCUCAGUGUGCUUAACCUAUUCAACUAUCUUUGUCUUGUCCACCAAGGCUAUAAAAACCCGUUCCCUCUUAGGAGCUAUCAAAACCUUGAGAUCAUACCUCAAGCCCUCCUCGAAACGUAUGUUCUUUUCUUAAUCAUUAGCAACCAACCUUCGAGCAUAACCAUUAAAACGUAAAAACUCGGCCUCAUACUUGGCUACCGAUUUAUCCCCCUGAUUUAACCUCAUAAAAUCGCAUUUAUGGGUAUCAACAUAGCUUGCCCCCACAUAUUUACUCUGUAAGGCAUUUCAAAAAUAAUCCCACUUCAGCUAUUCAGGCUGACUACCUCCUGCACAAUCAAACACCACUGGUAUGCCUUAUCACAAAGCAAGGUUACCACACCCUUCAAUAUCUACUCAGGGGUGCAAUCUAAAUCAUUCAUUAUCCUUUCUGUGGCUUCAACCAUACCACACCACAAUUUUGCAACCUGCUUCCCAAACACGCAAAAAAGCACAAUUUUUAGGCUUUCUAAGCAUUCUAAAGUAAAUAUAAGAAGGGAGAUGGGAGCCAUUAAAGAAAAUUGAAGAAAAUAAUUGAGGAACACCAUUAGGAGCCAACUCAGAAGUGAAUCUCCAUCAAGAUCGAAGAUCUCCUUUUCAUUUCUUUCAAAGUUUUUAUGAGUUUCUUUAUGUUUUGUGGUUAUUCUGAGUUGGAGAUGUUUUCAUUCAGGAUUAUGAACUAAUUCCCUAGAUAUUUAGAGAGGAUGAAACUGAUGAUGAAUUUUAUUAUUUAAUUUCUAUUUUACGUGGUAAAUACCUGAUUCUUGUUCUCAAUUAUCUGUGCUUAUUUCUUAUUUUAAUAUUUUUGGGAUAUUAAUUAAUGUUUAAUGUGUUUAAUUCAGUGGAGGAAAAGUCUUAAUUUAAGAGUAGUUCUAGCACAAUUGAUUGGAGUUGUAUGCAAUCCUUGAAGUAAGACGACAUAAAUUUACCGGAUUAAAGUCAAAUAUAAUAAGGGAAUCCAUAGAUCGAAUUAAUAAGAUGAUAGGGGCUUUAUUUAAAAAGAGAUUUCAAUUAAUCAACCUAAAGUCAGUUGCUAUUACUCUCAAAAGAGAUAUUAGCAUAAUUUAGGGAUUUCUACGGAUCAAGUCACGAAGUGAAUAAAUUUUUGAAUUAAAAUUAAUAAUAAUAGAUGAAGUCUAGGUGGAUUCUUUCCUUGGUGUUGUCUUUCUCAUUGGUUAUUAUCCUGUUGCUUCAUUGAUUUAUUAUUCUGUUGUUUUUAGUCAUUUUGGAUACGAUAUCUCUACUCACCGUAGCUAUACUAUAAUUUGAUAAAUGCGCUUGCUUUUGUCAUAAAGUUUAGUUAGUACGGAAAACACACAUCAAUGUUUUGGCACCGUUGCUAGGCAUUAAAAUAUUAGGAACACUUGAAUUUUUUAAAUUUAGCCAAUUUUAUUUUAUUUAUUUUAUUUUUAUAUUUUAUUUUAGUUUAAUUUUUACGUUCUAAUUUUUCUUGUUUGCUUUUGGCAAGUUCUUUUGGUUUAUGACUAGAAGAAACCCGUCAGAACCAUUGUUAUUUGACAGUGACAUUGAAAGUACUGCUUGCAGAAAUAGUAGAGAAGCAAGGUAGAAUCAACAGAAUUUAGUAGACGAACAAGAGGACAUCCUUAUUACUGAGGAGAUAGGAGAUAAUCAGAAUAUUCAACUACCUUCUAUAGUUACUGCAGCUCUUGUUCCUCGUACUAUGUACGAUUAUGCUAAGCCCAUUUUGACUGGAGCUGAAUCGAGUUGUGCAACCCACCAUUGCUGUAAAUAACUUUGAACUAAGGCUGAACACAAUUCUAACUGAAUUAGGGAAAAAUGGUUAAUUCAAAUGAAUUUGAGGGGUUUCCUAAAAUUGAUUAAAAGGAAGUUGGUAAUCAUUUAGAAUUAAAAUUGGGAUAGUUUAGUUUUAAGUGGUAAAAUGACUAAAAUACCCUUAGGGUUAAAUCCUUAAAAAUAGUUUUAAAAUGGUUCACAAAUGAUAAGAUAUAAAAGUAAAAUAUUUUAAUCCUAUUCUUAAUGCAUUUUUGGAUGAAUAUUUAUGUAAAUUAGUGAAUUUGAUGCUCCUAAUCCUUUAAAUUCAUGUUUCUAUACUUAGGAGAGCAUUUGGGAGCGAAAGGAGCUUAAAAUGAGCCAAAAUCGGACAAAUAUAGUUGUUUUCAAGAGCCACACGGCCUAGGCAUUUCCACACGGGCUAGACACACACUCAUGUGCAAGUUCAUGUCGAUUUCCCACCUUGCUUCCCAAAUACGCGGAAAAACACAAUUUUUAGGCUUUCUGACCAUUCUAAAGUCUAUAAAUAUCACUUAGAAGAAGACAUAAGGGAGCCAUAAGAGAUAAUCAUAGAAAACACUUGAAGAACACCAUCGGAUUCAACUUAGAAGCGGAUCUCCAUCAAGAUCGAAGACCUUCUUUUAAUUUAUUCUAAAGUUUUAUGAGUUUCUUUGUUUCUUGUGGUUUUUUUAACUUUGAGAUGUUUCUAUUUACGAUUAUGAACUGAUUCCCUAGAUACCUAGAAAAGAGGAAACCUAUGAUGAAUCUUAUUUUUUGAUUUAUGAUUUACAUUAUAAAUACUUGAUUCUUAUUCUCAAUUAUGUAUGCUAAUUUCUUGUUUUAAUAUUUCCAGGAUAUUAAUUCAUGUUUAAUGUGCUUAAUUUAGUGGAACAAAAGUCUCCGUUUAAGAGUAGAUCUAGCAUAAUUGAGUGAAACUGCAUGUAAUCUUAGAAAUAAAAUGAUAGAAAUCUAUUCGAUUAGAGCCAAAUCAAAUAGGAGAAUCCAUAGAUCGAAUUAAUGCGACAAUAAGGGUUUUAAUUAGGAAGAUAUUUCAAUUAAUCAACCUAGAGUCAAUUGUUCUUACUCUCGAAAGAGAUAUUAACAUAAUUUAGGGAUUUCUACAGAUCAAGACACCAAUUGAAUAAAUCGUUUAAUUUAGAUUCAUAAUAAUAGGUGAAGUCUAGGUGGAUUCUUUCUUGGGUAUUGUCACUCUCAUUGGUUAAUAUUUGAUUAUUUUCUUAAUUUAUUCUCUGUUGGGUUCUUAGUUAAAUUAGUUUAGUAAUUUUAGAUUAAAACUCAUCACUCUAAUUUGUUGGCUAAAUAAUAAGAAAACAGUAAUUACUAAUACUUUUAGUCCUCGUGGAUACGAUAUCUUUAUUCAUCGUGGCUAUACUAUUGUUUGAUAAGUGCGUUUGCCUUUGUCGUAUUUAUAGUUAGUUAAGUGAUCAUCAAGAAAUCAUUUCGAGAGUAAGGUUAGACAACUAUUAGUUAGAAUAGAGGUGUUAUAAGCUUGGGGUGUGUUUUGAGGUGGUUUUGUGCUGGAAAGUCACUUCGAUGGCUAAUGUGUCUCUUCAGGUUUGGAUCGUUCUGUUUCGGUCAGGUUUGGGGUGUCACAUACAUAAUUGACAUCAAUAUAUAUGUAGAGAUUAGAGUCACAACAAUCGAACAAAGGUAAAUAAUACAAUAAUUUAUUCAUAUCGGAGAAAGGUACAUGAAUGAGUGGUAAUGAAAAAAAGUAAAAAGAAGACCAAAAAAAAACCUAGAAUACGAUAAAGCAAAAGGUAGGUCGAUUGAUAGUUCUAUUUUUGCAUCAAAUAUGUUAUUUGAAUGAACCAUGAAAACCCUUCAUACAACUCAAUAAUGAAACAAACAACAAACUAAAACCUUCCACAUUCAUACACACAUAUACACUCAACAACUAGUGAUGGUUUUUUUUUUAGCCAUGUUGAACUAUGUUUGAAAUGUACAACAAAACAACCUAAGCUCUUUGUCUUAAAUAAGUGAACUUUCUUCUUCUUUAGUUUUUUUUUUUUUUAGUUUUAAUCAAGAAACUUGGGGCUAUGAUUUUCUAAAUACUGUGAAUAAAAUUUAAGAACAACUUAUUAUUCAUGAGACAAAUAUGCAUGAGAGAAAAUGUGUUCAAAACCAAUGAGUUCUUUAGAAGUUUUAGUCUCAAAUGAUAGAUUUAAUUCCGUUGAUGUUUUAGAGUUCACAAUGGUGCUAGGAAAACUACAAGAUUUGACAUUCACAAGGUUAUAUAUUUGUUACUUUGUCAAUAAAUUAUCACAAUUCAUACACAAUCCAUUUGGAUUACACUAGAGAAUAGACAAACGAUUAUUGUGUUACUUGCAACAAACAAAAAAAUCUUAGUCUUUGAAUAUUUGAUUGUUUUGACUGUAAUUUCUAAAUAUAUAAUGAUGGCGAUUGUGCUAAUCUCGAUGAUUGUGUAUCCACAUUAGACUAUAUUCUAUUUUAUAGUUUCACUCCAAUUAGUUGGACAUAAAAAGAAAAGUUACUAUUGUACAAUCGUCAACCGAAGCUGAGUAUCGUGCUCUUGUGGCUACUUUUGAAACUCUUCGAGUCAAACAUCUACUCAAAUAGCUUUAGAUACCUCUUGAAUCCACCUAAAAUAUUCUGUGAUAAUUUGAGUGACACUCUACCUUGUCAUCAUCAUUUGUUGCAUAGCAAGAUUAAGCAUUUCAAAAUUGAUGUUAACUUUUUUAGUUUCUACGUUGAUCGUAAGGAACUUGAUGUUCAUCAUAUGUAUGCCAUGGCCUAGGUUCCAAUAUACUCACCAAGUCUCCUAAAACAACCUUUCAUUGUAUCUAUUGACUAAGUCUUUUAAUUACGAGAUAAAUCUUAUUUUGAAUUAAUUUUUAAGCUUUGUUUUGAAUUAACCUUUUAUCUUUUAGAAUUUUCUUGUUUAGAUUCUUUAAAUUUCAUUAGUUAAGAUUUAUUAUCUUUUAUUGUAUAUAAAUAUUGAAGCUGAUCAAUAAAUACCACUUAGAAGAAGACAUAAGGGAGCCAUAAGAGAAUAUCAAAGAAAACACUUGAAGAAUACCAUCAGAAUUAACUCGGAAGUGGAUCUCCAUCAAGAUCAAAGACCUCCUUCUAAUUUCUUCUGAAGGUUUUAUGAGUUUCUUUGUUUCUUGUGGUUUUUUUGAUUUUGAGAUGUUUCUAUUUACGAUUGUGAAAUAAUUCCCUAGAUACCUAGGAAAGAUGAAACCUAUAAUAAAUCUUAUUUUUUGAUUUCUGAUUUACAUAAUAAAUACUUGAUUCUUUUUCUUAAUUAUGUAUGCUAAUUUUUUAUUUUAAUAUUUCUAAGAUAUUAAUUCAUGUUUAAUGUGCUUAAUUCAGUUGAACAAAAGUCCCUGUUUUUCAAAUCGGAGAAAGGUACAUGAAUGAGUGGUAAUGAAAAAAAGUAGAAAAAAGACCCAACAAAAACCUAAAAUAUGAUGAGGCAAAAGGUAGGUCCACUGAUAAAUCUAUUUUUGCAUCAAACAUGUGAUUUUGAAUGAUGGCGAUUGUUGUGACUCUAACCACUACAUAUAUAAUGGUGGUGAUUGUGCUGGUGAUGUCGAUGAUUGUGUAUCGACAUUAGACUAUAUUUUAUUUUAAAGUUUCACUCCAAUCAGUUGGACAUAAAAAAAAGUUACUGAUGCACAAUCUUCAGCCGAAGCUGAGUAUCGUGCUCUUGUGGCUACUUUUGAAACUCUCUGGGUCAAACAUCUACUCAAAUAGCUUUAGAUACUUUUUGGAUCCACCUAAAAUAUUCUGUGACAAUUUGAGUGACCCUCUACCUUGUCAUCAUCAUUUAUUGCAUAGCAAGAUUAAGCAUUUCGAAAUUGAUGUUCACUUUUUUUAGUUUUAUAUGUUGAUCGUAAGCAACUUUGAUGUUCAUCAUAUUUUCUUUUCAUAUGCUAAGUAUUUUAUAUUUUAGUUUUAAUUAGAUUUUAAACAUUUUCUUUUCAAAAUAAUUUAUUUUUUUGUUCUUCAACUUCUAUAUGAUUUGAUUCCAAGACUUUGUUUUAAAGUAUUUUUAUAAUUUUCUUUCCCUUCUUGAUUGUCAACGGUGAUAUCUCGCUAGUUGUUAAAGGAUUUAGCGAAACUGAGCACAUCCAGUUUAUCAAACAGAGCAAUUUCUAUCUCACUCUCAUUUUAAUUUAUUUAUGUGUUGUGCGUGAUUGAAUUGAUUCUAGGGAAUAUGGAAAUGGGAUUCAUGAGUAGCUAAGUCCUUUAGAGAGAUUAAAGGGCUUCCCAUAGGAAUUAGCUAGUAUAAAUUUAUGUGUGCUUAAACCCUAGGAUUGACGAUCGUAGGAAGUAUCUAGGUUAAACGAAGUCGAGACAUAAGUUUACCGAGUAAAUCGUGAGUUUAUCUCAAUCAGGAAAGUGAGGUCGAGAGAUAGGUGAGUACUAGUUAGUUAAUUAAUUAGUAGAGGUCGAGAGGUAAUACUGGUUAGUUAAUAACUAAUUCACUAAUAAAACCUACAUUUUGAAGUUAAUUGCAACCACUGAAACAAGUUAAUAUUCUUCUUGUUCUUCGAGAGUUAUUCAUUUUUCAAGUUUGUUUUAGUAAUUUAAUUUUACUUUAUGACCUUAAUUGUUAGUAUUAAUCAUUGUAAUAUAAUUUUGAGUGAUUACUGUUUAGACCUGCUAUUAUAGACGAUAUUUUUAGAUUUAAUCCAGUCUCUCUUAGGUCUUAAUCCUCGAAAUACUUACUGGUGUUUCGUUGUAAUAGAAAACUAUAUUACAAUUUGACCUAUUCACUUGGAUAUAUCGCACUGUAAUUAUAUAUAUUUUAUUUGUAAAAUUUUUACUUUAAAUGCUCGCACGUUUGGAGGUGGUCAAAACUCAUGCUUGAUCCCUUCAUCCUCAUAGUAAACAUCAAAUCUUUAUUUUUGAAUUCCCUUUCAUGAUCACUUCUUAUUCUUCUAGUCAUUCCAAUGACACGACCCUUUUCAUUCAUCAAGGUCUUGCACAACUUCUGACGGCUUCAAGGGUGUCUGAUUUGUCUCUAAGAAAUUUCACCCAUGUGAACCUUGAAUAUUCAUCCACACAGACUAGCACAUAUCUUUUGCCACUGAUUUUCUGUAUCUAUAUAGGACCAAUCAAAUCCAUAUAAAACAGCUCUAGUGGCUCGAAUGUUUGGUCUUGAGUGACUCUUUGAUGUUUCUCCCUAUGUUACUUACCCUUUAAGCAACAGCUAAAAACUUUAUGGACAUCACCAAUUAAUAUAGGAAUACCCCUGACAACCUCGGACUAGAUCAACAUUUGAAGUCCUUUUUAAUGCAUGCGACCAAGUGUCUCAUGCCACAAUCCUAACUCAGAGACAAUUGCCUUAUUUCACUUCACAUACUGUAGAACUUUAUAACAAUUAUCAAAGGUCCUCUACCUUUUCAUAAUUUUAUCUUUUAUCUCGAAAGAGACUUCACAACUAUCUUUUAUGAAAUUGAUUAACAUUCUUUGGUCACAAAACUUAUUUAUACUAGUUAAUCACAGUAAUUUUUUAUAAAAGAUAUUUUCUAAAAUUAUAUGAUAUAAAAUAUCAAAUUAAUUCCGAUGUACAACAGGUGGAAUUAUUUUAUUAAGUCGUACAUAUAAUUUGUUGAAAAAAUUGUACUUAAAAUUUGUUAAAAUAACAUUAGGAUAAAAAUUAUGAAGGUCCACAUGAAAAAUUAUGAAGAGAGAAUUUUUCCUCUAGCUUAGGGUACUAUGAUUAAUAUACAAUUGUUAUUAUUUCAUAAAAAAAGAUUAUAAAGGUAAUAAUUAUAUCGGUGUAAGUUGUCUCUUGUAUAUUUUACUUCACUUAAAUUCGUCGAAGCCUCCGAAUGAAAAAUUGGACAUAUGUAUAUGUGUAUAUAUAUAUUACCAGGGAAAUCUAAUAUGAGUAUCUUCCUUGGUCUUCAUUUUCAAAUUGCCAUGGAAAUCUACUACUCUAUGUUCAUCGCUCCUUUUACAACAAUGCUAAGCUUCUCCACCUUACUUGCUUUCAUCACUUUUGCUUUGAGUCACCUCUUUAAGCUUCAAUGGCAGCGCAAUGCCCAAAAGCCUAAACAGCCCUCUCUUCCGCCAGGCCCUAAACCUUGGCCUAUUGUGGGAAACCUCCCGGAAUUAAUCAUCAAUAAGAAGAAAACUUCGGUGUCUUAUUGGAUACACAGUUUCAUGAAAGAAAUGAACACCGAAAUUGCUUGUAUUCGUCUAGGAAAUGUUCAUGUGAUUCCCGUUACUUGUCCUGAAAUCAGUCUCCAAUUCAUGAGAAAACAGGAUGCUAUUUUUGCUUCAAGACCCCUUAACAUGGCCACUGAUGUCCUCUCAAAAGGGCACUUAACCACUAUUUUUUCACCCUUAGGAGAUCAGUGGAGAAAAAUGAAGAGAGUUAUGGUCAGCGAGAUGCUUUCACAUGAAAGACAUCGAUGGCUUCACGAGAAAAGAGUUGAAGAAGCUGAUAACCUCGUGCGUUGCGUACUUAACCAAUGCAAAAAUGGUGAUGAAGGCGGCCUAGUGGACUUAAGACUGGUUGCCCGACAAUAUUGUUGCAAUGUGAUAAAAAAGUUGAUCUUUAAUCGAGGGUACUUUGGAGAAGGGAAAGCAGAUGGUGGACCUGGUUUUGAGGAAGAAGAAUACGUCGACGCCAUUCUCGCUUUAGUCAUUCAUCUUUAUUCCUUUUGUAUAUCCGAUUACUGGCCAUUUUUGAGAGGCCUCGACCUGGAGGGGCAUGAGAAAAUCGUGGAGGACGCCACUAGGGUUCUAGAGAAAUAUAACAAUCCCAUUAUUGAAGACAGGAUUCAACAAUGGAGAGAUGGCAAGAAACAUGAACCUCAAGACUUGCUUGAUGUUUUGGUUUCUUUAACGG